UAGAGUAGCAGUCCUUGAAUUGGAGUCUUUACCUUCGUCCUUUUGAAUAAAAAUAAAUAAAAGAACUUUUCAAUAGCCUUUUUAACGGCUAAGAUUGAGAAGGAUGAUAAUGUUAUUGAUGGUUGUUACCACAAAUGACUGUAGUUGUAGCGAAAACUUACCUUACUGUCAGAGGCGGAUCCAGAAUUGAAAUUCUAUCGGUUCAACCGAUAAGAUUUUUAGCAUUAAACCUAUUAUAUUUGUAAAGUUAUGGGUUCAUGUCUACUAUCUAUUGCAAUUUUAGUGACGUUAUACACAUAAAUUUAUAAUUCGUUUCGAAAGUUAUGGGUCCAAUUGAACCCGUAAUUAAAGUGGUACAUCCUCCCCAGCUUACUGUCAAAAUGAUUGAUGGCGAUGAUUUACUUGGUUGUUCGAAUGACUUUAAUUUUAGAUGCGGUAUUUUGUUCCAACAUAUCGUGAGUCUCAAUAUAUUGAUAUGAUUUCCUUAAUCAAGAUUCCAGCAGCCAUAAGUCAAGUUGUUAUUACCUUUAAUAUCUUAUUCGUUCUGUGUCUCUUCUAGGCACAUGAUAUUUAAGCAGGGGUUUAAUCUGUUGUUCCCAAUGGAGGAUAUUGAAGUAAUGGGCAUUUGAAAUGGCAGGCUCAAACAAACUACAGAAGUUAUUUUCUCUUUCAAGCCUCAUGACUUUAAAGGAUUCUCCUUCCGUUUCUUGAAGCAUUUGUAGGGUGAUGAUAUGCAUCUUUUAUGAGUUUGAAAUAGAUUUUUACUUUUUCCUUUUGCAGGGAGAAAAUAAGGUAUAGAAACAAAGGGAAAUCCUUUUUGCUGCAAGAUUUAUUCAACAAGAUGAUGAUAGAUUGAGAUCAUUGGAGACUAUUUGAUUGGUUUUCUAGACGUUGCAAGGUUGGGGAACUUCCCGUUAGCGAGAUACCGUUGCGGGAGAUAGAGCUAGUGGUUGACGAGUUUGUUCGAGUGGAUCCUAUUGCUGAGGUGAGCCAUCGCAUUGUUCGUGGAGGAUUUUGUUUCAGACUUACUUAGUUCGUGUUAGUUAUUUUCUUUUCUUUGGGGUUUGCAUACCCGUCAAUAAAACUUAUAUUACUCUGUUAGAUGCUCCAUGAUUUUAGUGUGGGAUUUGGGCUAGAGAUUUAUCAUUUGAGUGAUUGUUGAUUUUUCUAUCAAUUGACUAAGGUAUUGGGCGAUAAUCAUUACCUCUUUAAUUAUUAAUAAUACUUUAGGCAGGCACUUUUUUUUUCUCAA